UACGGAGGGAGCUAGCGUUGUUCGGAAUUACUGGGCGUAAAGCGCGUGUAGGCGGCUCGGAAAGUCGGGUGUGAAAGCCCUGGGCUCAACCCAGGAAGUGCAUUCGAAACUUCCGAGCUGGAGUCCUGGAGAGGAAGGCGGAAUUCUCGGUGUAGAGGUGAAAUUCGUAGAUAUUCGCAAGAACACCAGUGGCGAAGGCGGCUCACUGGCCCGGUACUGACGCUGAGGUGCGAAAGCGUGGGGAGCAAACAGG
rnacentral:rRNA from 1 species